AGCGAGGUGCGCCUGUCAAGAAGCAGCAAUAGUCGCCAGUAGUCGGCAGCAUUCACGAAUGGUUGACCUGUACAGUUGACUGUGCUGGUUGACCGAUCGUGCGAUAAAAAUCGCGCAUUUCUCUCGUUACACGGAUUGCAAACAUUUAUUCUAACUCGAUUAUUAAAAUACAUCUGUCAUAUAAGAAGUUGAUAAUAUAAAUGAAGGUGACGAAUAGAAUCGUUGAUGGGCCAGGCAUCAUAUCGGCCAGGUGAGAGAGUGAGAGAGUGAGAGAGCGAACGAGAGAGAGAGGGAGAGAGAGAGAGAGAGAGACAGGUGGAUGGAUUGAAGAAAAUCGCCAGUCGAAAUACAAUCUAGGGUAAGGGAGUAGCAACCUCUUGGGGCCAGGGCCAGUCACGUGACCCCGUGUGUUUACCAAAAUGGUGAACACUCGUCGUUCGUAAAUUUGUAUUUUGCUCUGUUAUUUGGUUGUCAUUUUAUCUCCAAUUAAAAUGACGUUUGUUAAAUCUAACGAGAAUAAGCCUAAAUUCGAGUGAUAUCGUUCGUUUCUACAUUCAACUUCACAGCUGCCGUUAAUUUAACUUUCGAUGUCUCUUGACACAUAGAUUUUCUUACCUUGUGUACUCGGUGGUGGUUUGGUAACGAGCAGUCGACGAGUCGUGAGCGAAAGUUUGAAAGUGAACGAAAGAAACUUGCUGCUAUUGUUUCUCCGUGUAUUAACAAAGCCAAAACUCGUUUCGUGUACUCCGUACUACUACCUGAAAAUGAUUUUAAUUAUUAAUGCUGAUGACAACAUUCUCCUGCAACACGGUGGUGACUGAAGUCUCAAGCGGCCUAAUUCGCUUUACCAAUAAUGUUUAAUGUGAUGUGCGAUAGAUGAUCUCUGAUAUAGGUUAGUGCAAAUGGAAAGUACAUUAAAAAACGUCUAAAUGACACAAAGUGUCUUAGCAUAGCGCUGUGUGCUACGGCCAAGCAUUGCUAAACAUGGCCACGUAUCAAGUUGACUAUCAGUGGGCUUACUCUAUAAUGGAUUCAUCUAGGAUAUCCACUUUCCUAAUUUCAAUUCUGCUGAUAGUCUAUGGCAGUUUCCGAUCCUUAAACAUGGAACAGGAAGCAAAAGAAAGAGAAAAAGAAAAAGAACGUAAUGGGAUGUCGGGUACUAGUGGUACUGGAAACACAGGUGAUGCUAACGGAGGAAGAAUUCAAACCUUAGAUACGAUGCAUGCUCUCUGUCUACCUCUUGGUGCUUCCAUUUCUCUACUCGUCAUGUUUUUCUUUUUUGAUAGUAUGCAAAUGCUUUUAGCAAUAUGUACAGCAAUUAUAGCUACAGUUGCUUUGGCAUUUCUUCUACUACCCAUGUGUCAAUAUAUAAUUAGACCUUGCACAGACGGCAACAAAAUUUCCUUUGGUAUUUGUGGAAGAUUUACAGGAGCAGAAUUGCUUUCAUUUUCACUCAGUGUGAGCAUAGUAUGUAUAUGGGUAUUGACAGGACACUGGUUGCUCAUGGAUGCAAUGGGCAUGGGCCUUUGUGUAGCCUUCAUCGCAUUUGUUCGAUUACCAAGUUUAAAAGUAUCUACUUUGCUAUUAACCGGACUUUUGAUUUACGAUGUAUUCUGGGUCUUCUUUUCGUCCUAUAUAUUUAGUGCAAACGUAAUGGUUAAGGUAGCAACUAGACCUGCUGAUAAUCCAGUAAGUCUUGUCGCCAAAAGAUUGCACUUAGGUGGUGUAGCCAGGGAAGCUCCAAAACUUCCUCUACCAGGAAAGCUGAUGUUUCCUUCGAUGCAUCAAGCUGGACAUUUUUCGAUGCUGGGUCUUGGUGAUAUCGUUAUGCCAGGGCUUUUACUCUGCUUCGUGUUAAGAUAUGAUGCAUAUAAAAAGAGUCAGCUCUUGCCUGGUGGUUGUGAAACAGGAGUUCCACCCCCACGACACUUUAACCGUAUUAGUUAUUUCCAUUGCUCCUUGAUUGGCUAUUUUCUUGGUUUACUCACUGCUACUGUAAGCUCUGAGGUGUUCAAAGCUGCACAGCCUGCCUUAUUAUACCUUGUGCCCUUUACUCUUCUGCCACUACUGACGAUGGCUUAUCUAAAGGGAGAUUUACGUCGAAUGUGGAGCGAACCAUUCAUAUCUCAACAACCUUCUAUAUACAUGGAAGUUUGACAAGAGUCAUGGCUCUUGAGAAAUAAUUACACAAGAUUCAUUGUCAUUGAAAAUUUAGAGUUCUGGUCUUUAUCGAUAUCAUUUUAACACACCAACAUAACAUCCACAUCUAAAGAUUCCUAUAAUCGGUAGCGAGUUCAGCGCUACUGUUAGACGCUAACUGGUUGUGAGAAGAUCUUCCUUCUUUACGACUACCUCGAACGACUACUAGUGGGAUAGAUCGGUGCUUAAGUGUAUAUGUCUACGUCACGAUGUAUCUCUGAAUCAUAACAAUAGUAUUAAUCGUUUUCAAGCUAUGUCGAUCGCAUAAUAACCGAGUACGCCGAUCCUCCUCCUCCUCCUCCUUCUUCUUUUUUCGUUUUCCUUCGUUCUUAUCCUUUUAUCCUUCAAAAAUGAAAAGUCUAUUCAUUUGGAUAUAGUAGAUUCGAUGAAACACGAUCUAUUCAAAGAAAAUAAAAACGUAACUAAGGCUAUUUGUAUUCUAACCGGACCACAUCUACUUACCCUGAAGUAAAUAGCACACUCGAAGAAAAUAAUCACAUUAUUAUUUAUGAAAGGAGAAUCGUUCUUCUUCGUAAUAAAUGUUAUAUGACAUUCCUACGUAAUCAGCCCAAUUUUGUAUGAUGGAACAAUACAAGUGGUUUUUUUAAAACGUCUAUCGAAAAUGAAAUUAAUAUAAAUUUAUAAUGAAACGAUUUU